AUCAGAGUCACCUAGAGAGCUUGUUAAAAAUCAGAUCACUAUGUUCCACCCCUAGAGUUUCUGAUUCAGUGAGUGAGUGUCUGAGAAUCUGCAUUUCUAACAAGUUCCCAGAUGAUGUUGAU
rnacentral:miRNA from 1 species